GACUUGCUAUUAAUGUUGAUUAGCAGUUCCACAUUCAUCAGUAUCUUUCCCAUCUAAUUAUUUUGGAAGAAGAUUUGCACUUAUAUUUCUUUUUGCCAGUUCUAAUAACUUUCUUUGCUCAGAACCCUGUAAGGCCUUUGCCUCCUUCUGGCGGUUAUAGCCAGCAAACCUAUCGUCCACACAGACCACCUGGUCCACCUACUGAAGAGCACAUGAAUUAGUUGUGAUUAUCUGCAGUACAUGAGCCCACUGGAUGAACAUGUACUCAAUGUACAGUGGGAGACUACAACUUAAUGUGUUUUAUGAAUCCUGACUUAAUGUGUUUCAACGGAGGAUUAUGUGUAUCAUACUUUGGCUGCAAAAGCUAGUGGAGAAUUGUCCUUGAAGUAUAUAUUUUCUUUUGGAGCAUUUGCACAGCAACCCCUUCUGCACAUGUGAGAUUUGGUGUUCUAGAGGCUGGAGCCUUUGGUGUUUCUUAGUCUAGGAAAUGAGCAUUCAUAUGGGCAGCUUCUCCAGAAGAGACUCCCAGAGUGGCCAGAGCCAAUGCACAUCUUUGCAGGCCCAGAACUGAAAAUCACAUUACCAGGGGAUGUACAGUAUGCUGCCGUCAGGAAAAUCUCUAUUAAGUGACUGCCAAAGAGUUGCAGAUCACUACUAGAAAAUGUGCUAUUGCAGAUAUCACUACAGUAUUUUCUCUGUCAUGCUCAGUUGGGUGCUGACCAAAUUCUUUUGCAGCAUUAGGCUGACUACCUUUGACACUGUUAAAGGCUGACU